rnacentral:rRNA from 1 species
AAAUUGAAGAGUUUGAUCAUGGCUCAGAUUGAACGCUGGCGGCAGGCCUAACACAUGCAAGUCGAACGGUAACAGGAAACAGCUUGCUGUUUCGCUGACGAGUGGCGGACGGGUGAGUAAUGUCUGGGAAACUGCCCGAUGGAGGGGGAUAACUACUGGAAACGGUAGCUAAUACCGCAUAACGUCGCAAGACCAAAGAGGGGGACCUUCAGGCCUCUUGCCAUCGGAUGUGCCCAGAUGGGAUUAGCUUGUUGGUGAGGUAACGGCUCACCAAGGCGACGAUCCCUAGCUGGUCUGAGAGGAUGACCAGCCACACUGGAACUGAGACACGGUCCAGACUCCUACGGGAGGCAGCAGUGGGGAAUAUUGCACAAUGGGCGCAAGCCUGAUGCAGCCAUGCCGCGUGUAUGAAGAAGGCCUUCGGGUUGUAAAGUACUUUCAGCGGGGAGGAAGGGAGUAAAGUUAAUACCUUU